UGCAGGAGAUGUUCGACAAGAGGAGGGUCAGCCUGAAGAAGCUAGCAGCCAAACAGACCAGGCCGGUGCAGCCUGUAGCACCCAGACCUGAAGCCUUCCUCAAAUCCCCGCUCAGCUCGCCCGCACACAGAGCUCAGCAGGAAAAAUCUGCCCAGACACAGACUCUGGGAACAACUGUGAAAA